rnacentral:rRNA from 1 species
AUUGAACGCUGGCGGCAUGCCUUACACAUGCAAGUCGAACGGUAACGGGUCCUUCGGGAUGCCGACGAGUGGCGAACGGGUGAGUAAUACAUCGGAACGUGCCUGGUAGUGGGGGAUAACUACUCGAAAGAGUGGCUAAUACCGCAUGAGAUCUCAGGAUGAAAGCAGGGGACCCUCGGGCCUUGCGCUAUCAGAGCGGCCGAUGGCAGAUUAGGUAGUUGGUGGGAUAAAAGCUUACCAAGCCGACGAUCUGUAGCUGGUCUGAGAGGACGAUCAGCCACACUGGGACUGAGACACGGCCCAGACUCCUACGGGAGGCAGCAGUGGGGAAUUUUGGACAAUGGGCGCAAGCCUGAUCCAGCAAUGCCGCGUGCAGGAUGAAGGCCUUCGGGUUGUAAACUGCUUUUGUACGGAACGAAAAGCUUCGGGCUAAUACCCUGGAGUCAUGACGGUACCGUAAGAAUAAGCACCGGCUAACUACGUG